rnacentral:rRNA from 1 species
UCCAGACUCCUACGGGAGGCAGCAGUGGGGAAUAUUGCACAAUGGGGGAAACCCUGAUGCAGCAACGCCGCGUGAGUGAAGAAGUAUUUCGGUAUGUAAAGCUCUAUCAGCAGGGAAGAAGAUGACGGUACCUGAGUAAGAAGCCCCGGCUAACUACGUGCCAGCAGCCGCGGUAAUACGUAGGGGGCAAGCGUUAUCCGGAUUUACUGGGCGUAAAGGGAGCGUAGACGGUGAGACAAGUCUGAAGUGAAAGCCCGGGGCUCAACCCCGGGACUGCAUUUGGAACUGUGUGGCUGGAGUGUCGGAGAGGCAGGCGGAAUUCCUAGUGUAGCGGUGAAAUGCGUAGAUAUUAGGAGGAACACCAGUGGCGAAGGCGGCCUGCUGGACGAUGACUGACGUUGAGGCUCGAAAGCGUGGGGAGCAAACAGGAUUAGAUACCCGCGUACG